rnacentral:lncRNA from 1 species
UCCUGUCUGCCCUUGAUGGAGCCACUGGUGGGGUUACUUGCUGGCGGUCGGCCACUUUCGCCCCUCCCUCGCCAGCCCGCCAGCUCCCUAAGGUUUUGUGGUUUUUUGUCACCACCACACCUCAGUGUUGAGCUAAGUGAGGACGUCCCCCCAGCAAAUGUAUUGGACGGAAGGAAACGCUGUGCGGGAGGAGGCGGAGGAAAGUAGGCCACCCGGGGCUCAAGUGAGAACAAGCACCAAGCCCUGUGGAUUUCAGAAGAACUCCACCUCCACAGAGUCCUCAAAGAUCUUCUCCUGAACUCCGCACUCCCCAGCCUUGAGAGGAGACACAGGAGCUGGAGGAAGCAGCUUUAUCCCUCACUUUGUGGUUCAGUCCAGCCUGUUUUCCAAGGGGUAAAGGGCAGUGGAAGGAUAACUAAGAAAAUAAUAAUAACAAAUGAAAGCAUCUCUGUGGA